GCACGGAGUUAGCCGGAGCUUACAAACAGUACCGUCAUCACCGGUGAUGUUAACACCGGCUUAUUCUUCCCGUUCUUGCGAAGUUUACAUCCCGAGGGAUUUCAUCCUUCACGCGGCGUUGCUGGGUCAGGCUUGCGCCCAUUGCCCAAAAUUCCCGACUGCUGCCUCCCGUAGGAGUCUGACCCGUAUGUCAGUGUCAGUGUGGCCGACCGCCCUCUCAGGCCGGCUACAGAUCAUCGCCUUGGUAAGCCGUUACCUUACCAACUAGCUAAUCUGCCGCAGGCUCCUCUUCAGACGCGAGGUCUUGCGAUCCCCCGCUUUAACAACUGUCACCAUUAGGUGCCGCUGCAUUAUUCGGUAUUAGCCACCGUUUCCGGUGGUUAUUCCCAAUCCAAAGGUAGAUUACCUACGUGUUACUCACCCGUGCGCCACUCUACUUGCCCCCCGAAAGGGGCUUUCGCGUUCGACUUGCAUGUCUGAGGCACGCCGCCAGCGUUGAUU
rnacentral:rRNA from 1 species